ensembl:lncRNA
UCGCUCUGCUCGACUUUGCUGAUUGUCGGUGUCUUCGUGUUUGUCUCUGCAGACCAGAAAAUCAUCAAAGCUGAGCCUGGACAGAAGAACGUCACUCUUCCAUGUCGAGCUCCAAACAACAGCAGCAGCAUCACCGGUGUAGAGUGGACCAGAGCUGAGCUGGGAGAUGAAUAUGUGCUUUUGUACAGGGAUGACCAGCUUGAUCCAACCAACCAGCAUCCAUCUUUUAAGAACUGGGUGGAUCUGCAGGACAGACGGAUGAAGGAUGGAGACGUGUCUUUGAUUCUGAAGGAUGUGAUGAUUAAUGACACUGGAACAUACAAGUGUGAGGCCUUCAUUAGAGGAACAAAUGUGAGGAAGAGAGCUAAUCUAGUUGGUGAACCCAUCAGUAUCGUCACACUGAAAGUUGUUCCUCCAGGUGAGUGAGUAGAGUUGAGUGUGUGUGUGAUCAGAGGUGAAGCUGCUUCCUGGUUGUUGAUGUUUGUUUCUAAAGAUGUUGUUG